AAAGUUGACACCUCUGUGCAUGUCAGCACAAGCCCAGAUACUCAGCUUAAAGAACGCAAUGAGACAAUUGUAUCAGAAGAUCAAGCAUCUCAACAAGAGGAAGUAUCAUCACAAAGUCAUCAACCUCUUUUAGAUGCAUCCAUAUCCAUGAAGCUCCAAUCAAGAAUUUCAACUGUUUUGGAGUCUUUGUCAAAGGAAGCUGACAUUCAAAGA
rnacentral:misc_RNA from 1 species